rnacentral:rRNA from 1 species
UGGUGGAGUGAUUUGUCUGGUUAAUUCCGAUAACGAACGAGACUCUAUUCUGUUAAAUAGACACAACGCCACAAUGACGUUGACUGUCUUCUUAAAGAGAUUGGCCAUAUCUUUAAUUGGCAAGAGAUUGAGCAAUAACA